AUUGGUAAGAGUACUUCAGAAUUAC
rnacentral:misc_RNA from 1 species